AGUGAACGCUGGCGGUAGGCCUAACACAUGCAAGUCGAACGGCAGCACAGUAAGAGCUUGCUCUUACGGGUGGCGAGUGGCGGACGGGUGAGGAAUACAUCGGAAUCUACUUUUUCGUGGGGGAUAACGUAGGGAAACUUACGCUAAUACCGCAUACGACCUACGGGUGAAAGCAGGGGAUCUUCGGACCUUGCGCGAUUGAAUGAGCCGAUGUCGGAUUAGCUAGUUGGCGGGGUAAAGGCCCACCAAGGCGACGAUCCGUAGCUGGUCUGAGAGGAUGAUCAGCCACACUGGAACUGAGACACGGUCCAGACUCCUACGGGAGGCAGCAGUGGGGAAUAUUGGACAAUGGGCGCAAGCCUGAUCCAGCCAUACCGCGUGGCGAAGAAGGCCUUCGGGUUGUAAAGCCCUUUUGUUGGGAAAGAAAAGCAGCAGGUUAAUACCCCGCUGUUCUGACGGUACCCAAAGAAUAAGCACCGGCUAACUUCGUG
rnacentral:rRNA from 1 species